AAUUCUCAACUACACUGACUUUGUUUAGUGUGGCUUGGAUUUGGGUGUUUAUGCGGGCUUUUAUACAUAAAAUGAAGUCAGCUCUCCUAAAAUUUAUUAGCAGGGUUACCUUGGUAGGACUGUCUACAGGUGUGAUAAUCUAUCUAUGCCUUAGAUGUCUGUAUGGAUACUGCUUCUAAUCUUAUGAUCAA
rnacentral:misc_RNA from 1 species